rnacentral:rRNA from 1 species
GACGUAGGGUCCGAGCGUUGUCCGGAUUUACUGGGCGUAAAGAGCGCGUAGGCGGUCCGUUAAGUGUGAAGUGAAAUCUCCAGAGCUCAACUCGGAAACUGCUUCGCAUACUGGCGGACUUGAGGAAUGCAGAGGUGAAUAGAAUUCCUGGUGUAGCGGUGAAAUGCGUAGAUAUCAGGAGGAAUACCCAUGGCGAAGGCAGUUCACUGGGCAUUAUCUGACGCUGAGGCGCGAAAGCGUGGGGAGCAAACAGGAUUAGAUCCCGGGUAGU